CCUACGGGAGGCAGCAGUGGGGAAUAUUGCACAAUGGGGGCAACCCUGAUGCAGCGACGCCGCGUGAGUGAAGAAGUAUCUCGGUACGUAAAGCUCUAUCAGCAGGAAAGAAAAUGACGGUACCUGACUAAGAAGCCCCGGCUAACUACGUGCCAGCAGCCGCGGUAAUACGUAGGGGGCAAGCGUUAUCCGGAUUUACUGGGUGUAAUGGGAGCGUAGACGGCGCUGCAAGUCCGGAGUGAAAGCCCUUGGCUUAACCGUGGUACUGCGCUGGAAACUGGAGAGCUUGAGUGCAGGAGGGGCAGGCGGAAUUCCUGGUGUAGCGGUGAAAUGCGUAGAUAUUAGGAGGAACACCGGCGGCGAAGGCGGCCUGCUGGACCGUAACUGACGUUGAGGCUCGAAAGCGUGGGGAGCAAACAGGAUUAGAUACCCGGGUAGUC
rnacentral:rRNA from 1 species